GACGAACGCUGGCGGCGUGCUUAACACAUGCAAGUCGAACGCUGAAGACCUGGCUUUUGUUGGGUUGGAUGAGUGGCGAACGGGUGAGUAACACGUGAGUAACCUGCCCCCUUCUUUGGGAUAACGCCCGGAAACGGGUGCUAAUACUGGAUAUUCACUGAUCUUCGCAUGGGGGUUGGUGGAAAGGUUUGUUCUGGUGGGGGAUGGGCUCGCGGCCUAUCAGCUUGUUGGUGGGGUGAUGGCCUACCAAGGCUUUGACGGGUAGCCGGCCUGAGAGGGUGACCGGUCACAUUGGGACUGAGAUACGGCCCAGACUACUACGGGAGGCAGCAGUGGGGAAUAUUGCACAAUGGGCGAAAGCCUGAUGCAGCGACGCCGCGUGAGGGAUGGAGGCCUUCGGGUUGUAAACCUCUUUCGCUCAUGGUCAAGCCGCAACUGUGGGUUGUGGUGAGGGUAGUGGGUAAAGAAGCGCCGGCUAACUACGUG
rnacentral:rRNA from 1 species